rnacentral:rRNA from 1 species
GACGAACGCUGGCGGCGUGCUUAACACAUGCAAGUCGAACGGAGUGGCGAACGGGUGCGUAAUACGUGGGUGAUUUGCCUUGCACUUCGGGAUAAGCUUGGGAAACUGGGUCUAAUACCGGAUAGUGCAAGAUGAGCUCGCGGCCUAUCAGUUUGUGGGUGGGGUAAUGGCCUACCAAGGCGUCGACGGGUAGCCGGCCUGAGAGGGUGUACGACAAAAUUGGGACUGAGAUACGGCCCAGACUCCUACGGGAGGCAGGAGUGGGGAAUAUUGCACAGUGAGCGGAAGCAGGAGGCAGCGACGCCGCGUGGGGGAUGAAGGCCUUCGGGUGGUAAAAUCCUUUCGACAGGGACGCGGUACCUGUAUAAGAAGCACUGGCUAACUACUUGCCAGCCGCCGCGGUAAUU